rfam:Picea glauca, whole genome shotgun sequence.
AUGUAUAUUCCUACAAUUUAGUGUUAAUGCAUCAGAUCCCAAUAGAAAUCUGCAGUUAACCGCACUCAUACUAGAGUAGUAUUGGGAUGGGUGACCGCCCGGGAAGUCCUAGUAUUUUACAUG